rnacentral:rRNA from 1 species
UACAGAGGUCUCAAGCGUUGUUCGGAUUCAUUGGGCGUAAAGGGUGUGUAGGUGGCGCCGUAAGUCGGGUGUGAAAUUUCGGAGCUUAACUCCGAAACUGCAUUUGAUACUGGCGUGCUUGAGGACUGGAGAGGAGACUGGAAUUCACGGUGUAGCAGUGAAAUGCGUAGAUAUCGUGAGGAAGACCAGUGGCGAAGGCGGGUCUCUGGACAGUUCCUGACACUGAGGCACGAAGGCCAGGGGAGCAAACGGG